GACGAACGCUGGCGGCGUGCCUAAUACAUGCAAGUCGAACGCAAAACUUUCACCGAAUGCUUGCAUUCACGAAAGUUUUGAGUGGCGAACGGGUGAGUAACACGUGGGUAACCUGCCCAGAAGAGGGGGAUAACACUUGGAAACAGGUGCUAAUACCGCAUAAUAACAAAAACCGCAUGGUUUUUGUUUGAAAGAUGGUUUUGCUAUCACUUCUGGAUGGACCCGCGGCGUAUUAGCCAGUUGGAAAGGUAAAGGCUUACCAAGGCAAUGAUACGUAGCCGAACUGAGAGGUUGAUCGGCCACAUUGGGACUGAGGCACGGCCCAAACUCCUACGGGAGGCAGCAGUAGGGAAUCUUCCACAAUGGACGAAAGUCUGAUGGAGCAACGCCGCGCGAGUGAAGAAGGUUUUCGGAUCGUAAAACUCUGUUGUUAGAGAAGAACGUGUGUGAGAGUAACUGCUCAUGCAGUGACGGUAUCUAACCAGAAAGCCACGGCUAACUACGUGCCAGCAGCCGCAGUAA
rnacentral:rRNA from 1 species